CUUGCGGAAAAGAGUAAAGCGGCGCACGGGUGAGUAAUGCAUGAAUAACCUGCCCUCAGGUCUGGGAUAACCCCGUGAAAAUGGAGUUAAUACCGGAUGAUAUCCAUUUAACCAUGGUUGAAUAGGUUAAAGGUGGCCUCUGCUUGCAAGCUAUCGCCUGGAGAGGGGUUCGUGUCCCAUCAGUUAGUUGGUAGGGUAAUGGCCUACCAAGGCUAAGACGGGUAGCUGGUCUGAGAGGACGACCAGCCACAUUGGCACUGAAACACGGGCCAGACUCCUACGGGAGGCAGCAGUGGGGAAUAUUGCGCAAUGGGCGAAAGCCUAACGCAGCGACGCCGCGUGAGGGAAGAAGGCCUUGGGUCGUAAACCUUUGUCAGGUGGGAAGAACCCCUCCCUAUCAAAUAGGUUUGGAGGGUUGACGGUACCACCCAAGGAAGCACCGGCUAACUCCGUGCCAGCAGCCGCGGUAAUACGGAGGGUGCAAGCGUUGUUCGGAAUUACUGGGCGUAAAGAGCUCGUAGGUGGCUUUGUAAGUCAGGUGUGAAAUACUCUUGCUCAACGAGAGAAUUGCACUUGAAACUGCAUUGCUUGAGUACGGGAGAGGGAAGUGGAAUUCCAGGUGUAGCGGUGAAAUGCGUAGAUAUCUGGAAGAACACCGGUGGCGAAGGCGACUUCCUGGACCGAUACUGACACUGAGGAGCGAAAGCGUGGGGAGCAAACAGGAUUAGAUACCCUGGUAGUCCACGCCGUAAACGAUGGGCACUAGGUGUAGGGGGUUUAUCCCUCUGUGCCGUAGCUAACGCAUUAAGUGCCCCGCCUGGGGAGUACGGUCGCAAGGCUAAAACUCAAAGGAAUUGACGGGGGCCCGCACAAGCGGUGGAGCAUGUGGUUUAAUUCGAUGCAACGCGAAGAACCUUACCUGGGCUUGACAUCUCCCGAAUUCCGAUGAAAAUCGGUAGUGCCCCUUCGGGGGAAC
rnacentral:rRNA from 1 species